rnacentral:rRNA from 1 species
UAGGGAAUCUUCCACAAUGGACGCAAGUCUGAUGGAGCAACGCCGCGUGAGUGAAGAAGGUUUUCGGACCGUAAAGCUCUGUUGUUGGUGAAGAAGGAUAGAGGUAGUAACUGGCCUUUAUUUGACGGUAAUCAACCAGAAAGUCACGGCUAACUACGUGCCAGCAGCCGCGGUAAUCGUAGGUGGCAAGCGUUGUCCGGAUUUAUUGGGCGUAAAGCGAGCGCAGGCGGAAGAAUAAGUCUGACGUGAAAGCCCUCGGCUUAACCGAGGAAUUGCAUCGGAAACUGUUUUCUUGAGUGCAGAAGAGGAGAGUAGAACUCCAUGUGUAGCGGUGGAAUGCGUAGAUAUAUGGAAGAAUACCAGUGGCGAAGGCGGCUCUCUGGUCUGCAACUGACGCUGAGGCUCGAAAGCAUGGGUAGCGAACAGGAUUAGAUACCCUGGUAGUCCAUGCCGUAAACGAUGAGUGCUAAGUGUUGGGAGGCUUCCGCCUCUCAGUGCUGCAGCUAACGCAUUAAGCACUCCGCCUGGGGGAGUACGACCGCAAGGUUGAAAC